rnacentral:rRNA from 1 species
UUAAGCGUCCAUACCACGUUGAAUACACCGGUUCUCGUCCGAUCACCAAAGUUAAGCAACGUCGGGCGCGGUCAGUACUUAGAUGGGUGACCGCCUGGGAGGACCGCAUGACGUUGGAU